rnacentral:rRNA from 1 species
AAUAGAUACCCGGGUAGUCCACGCCCUAAACGAUGUCUACUAGUUGUCGGGGAUUAAUUUCCUUGGUAACGCAGCUAACGCGGGAAGUAGACCGCCUGGGGAGUACGGUCGCAAGAUUAAAACUCAAAGGAAUUGACGAGGACCCGCACAAGCGGUGGAUGAUGUGGAUUAAUUCGAUGCAACGCGAAAAACCUUACCUACGCUUGACAUGUCCGGAAUCCUGCAGAGAUGUGGGAGUGCCCGAAAGGGAGCCGGAACACAGGUGCUGCAUGGCUGUCGUCAGCUCGUGUCGUGAGAUGUUGGGUUAAGUCCCGCAACGAGCGCAACCCUUAUCAUUAGUUGCUACGCAAGGGCACUCUAAUGAGACUGCCGGUGACAAACCGGAGGAAGGUGGGGAUGACGUCAAGUCCUCAUGGCCCUUAUGCGUAGGGCUUCACACGUCAUACAAUGGUCGGUACGAGAGGGCUGCCGAACCCGCGAGGGGGAGCCAAUCCCACAAAACCGAUCGUAGUCCGGAUUGCAGUCUGCAACUCGA